rnacentral:rRNA from 1 species
GAUGAACGCUGGCGGCGUGCCUAAUACAUGCAAGUCGAGCGAAAAGACGAGGAGCUUGCUCUUUCGACGUUAGCGGCGGACGGGUGAGUAACACGUAGGUCACCUACCUAUUAGACUGGGAUAACUUCGGGAAACAGGAGCUAAUACCGGCUAAUAUUUCGUACCGCAUGGUUCGAUAGUGAAAGAUGCCUUUGCUAUCACUUAUAGAUGGUCCGGCGUCGUAUUAGCUAGUUGGUAAGGUAACGGCCUACCAAGGCAACGAUACGUAGCCGACCUGAGAGGGUGAUCGGCCACACUGGAACUGAGACACGGUCCAGACUCCUACGGGAGGCAGCAGUAGGGAAUCUUCCGCAAUGGGCGAAAGCCUGACGCAGCAACACCGCGUGAGUGACGAAGGUCUUCGGAUCGUAAAGCUCUGUUAUUGGGGAAGAACAGACGUGGAAGUAACUGUGCACGUCUUGACGGUACCUAAUCAGAAAGCCACGGCUAACUACGUG